rnacentral:rRNA from 1 species
AUACGUAGGUGACAAGCGUUAUCCGGAUUUACUGGGCGUAAAGGGCGUGUAGGCGGUCUUGCAAGUCAGAAGUGAAAUUCCUGAGCUCAACUCGGGCGCUGCUUCUGAAACUGCAGGACUUGAGUGCUGGAGGGGAUAGCGGAAUUCCUAGUGGAGCGGUAAAAUGCGCAGAUAUUAGGAAGAACACCGGUGGCGAAGGCGGCUAUCUGGACAGUAACUGACGCUGAGGCGCGAAAGCGUGGGGAGCAAACAGGAGUAGAUACCCGGGUAGUCCACGCCGUAAACGAUGAAUACUAGGUGUAGGGGGUAUCGACUCCCUCUGUGCCGCAGUUAACACAAUAAGUAUUCCGCCUGGGGAGUACGGCCGCAAGGUUGAAACUCAAAGGAAUUGACGGGG